CUAAGGCGAACAGAGCGUCAUUGACACAGUCCGACUUCUCAAAGUGGAUGUUGAAGCGGAAGCCGGAGUACGGUCCGCCGUCCGCCUCCAGCGCGCGCUGCGCGUAAAAGAUCGCCGGCGACACUCUGUCGUAUGAAAACAGUAAAACGCACGCGCCCGUGGAUUCCUGAGUCGCGCCGUGCGCUUGACGAGCCCGACCUGGACCCGCCGGGCACCGCGGGGAUGAGCGGCGGCAGCUGCAGCGCUCACCUUCUGACUGAGCCUCGUUCAGGCGCUUCGGCGGGAGCCCACGGAGCUGCGGUCACGUGUGCAGCCGUGGAAUGCGUCCACACCUCCAGGCAUGUGGCAGAGCUGCUCCGUGCUCUCGUGCUUGUUCUACACGGGCUGUCUGUACAUUUUACAAUGAAUCAGCUGAGCUGGAUGCUGCUCACGUUCGCUGCUACAGAGCGUGAUGUGUGGACAGAUGUGGCUCGAGGCUCUAAGGCUGGAAUUCCCAAACUCCACUCAUCUGUGGAAGCGUCACUCAGACCUGGCUUUGUCCUCCCACAGACCGGAGAGGAAGCAGGAAGCAGCAGCUCGGUCACAGACAAAGGAACCAAGCACUCACCUGCUUCAACCACAUGUUCACUUAAGGUUAAGAUGGUCUGGUUAAGAAACGUUCCUGCUAAAAAGCGAAUUUGAAGAAAAAAAAAGUUAUUAUGCCAGAGGCCUUCCUGAUGCAACCUCUCUCU